AGUGUGGGGAAGGGGGGAGGGGGGUCAGAUUUUUAGACCCACAUGUGAUCCCCCACCUACCCACUUAUUCCCCACCAUACAAUCACAAAUAUCUCUCUCCCUCUCUCUUGGCCGGCCACACUCCUCUCCUUCUCUUCUCUUUUCUUUCCUUUUCAGACAAGCACAAAAACACUCAUCUCCCCCUCUCACACUCUCCCACCGGUGCAUCACCCCACCUUCACAAUUAUUUUUCUGGUGAGUUUUACCUGAAAAACUCCAUAAGAACCUCUUAAGCUCUCAUAUCUCAUCUUAUUUAAGAUAUGAAAUUGGUGGCAAAGAGACAUUUUUUGUGGCGCUACUUGAACUCUAUCAUUUUCUAAUGUAUGGAAGACAUCACUUAUCAAUAUAUUGUUGUAAUUACUUUGUGAACAACUCACUUAAAUAGUUUUAAUAGUAUAAUGGUUCUUUAUUUCCUUUUUA